AGGGAGAGGGCUUGGGGGAAGGACCCCCGCAGGGUUUUGGGGGGGAGAGAGGGAGGGUUGAAAGUGAGCGGGUGGGGGGGGGGCGCUCAGGAAAGUUUAACUAAACUAAUCCUGGAGCUGCUGCGGAAAGACUCCGGAUCCAAAAGAGAAGCGGGGAUACAGGGUGUCCAAAGGCCGAACUGUACAGGAGGUCCUCGACUUACAACCGUCGUUCGUUUAGCGACGGCUGGAAGUUAUAACAGCCCUGGGAAACAGUGGCUCAGGACCCUUUUUCACCCUUAACGACCGGGAUCAGCAUCCCGAAGGUCACGGGAUCAAAAUUCAGACAGGCUUGGCAACUGACUCGCACUUAUGAUGGUUGCGGCGUCCCCGGGGGGGGGGAGGUCACGUGAUCCCCUUUGGCGAUUCACUUAACUGUGGCAAGAAAGGUCGUAAAACGGGGCAAAGCUCACUUAAGAACGGUCCCCCCGCUUAGCCAUUUUGGGGGCUCGGUUGUGGUUGUAAGUUUGAGGACUCCCUGUGUGGAGGGGUAAAAUUACUUUUCGAUGAAACGGGUGAGUCUGCAAAGAGGCCGCCAAGUCUCCAGAUUCACACCGCCAUCCCGCAGGGAGUCCUCGACUUAGUGAGCAGAAUUGGUUCUGGAGAACGUCCAGUCGCAGAGUGAGACGGUUGUUAAAUGAGUCGGAUCCAAUUUUGCAGCAUUUUUUUGCUACAGUCGUUUGGUCGUGUGGAGGUUCCGCUCCGGAUUUCUGCAAACUUCGGGAACAGCUUUUUCAAACAACAAUGAACCAGUGGAACCACCUGCAUCCAGAAGCGGCUCUUGUUUACUUCCUUUGGAUCCUAGCUGACCUUCUCCGCUAACCCUCUGGAAGUUUGGAAGUGAAAUCAGCUUCCUCUUUGGAUCCAUGCCAAGCUGGCUUAAAAUUGCUCCGAUGCUGUUAAAUAUGCUCGGCCAAAGCCAAAUAAAUCUCCUGGAGAUUUUCCUUGGGAAAUCCUAGCCUUCCAAGGAACAACAUUGCCUCGUUUCGUUUUGGUUUUUUUUUAAUUAUUAUUUUUUUAAAACUUCGUGCAAAUGACCCUCGUUAUCUCUCCGAGAAUCGGCAAAGCCCUUUCCCGUUGGCUUGUGGACUAGCAGCUUGCUCAACCGUUCAGACCUUGCAACAGACCAGAAGGUGAAAGCCACAAAAAAGGUCAAGCUGAGACUUUUGAAAGAGCUGCUAACUGGGAUUCUGGAACUGAGUUUUUCUCUCUUUUAUUUCCAUCGUUCUCGGCCUCUGAAAGGACACAGACCCCAUUUUUUUUUUUUUGCAACUCGCUACUGCAUAGAAAACCACCCCUGCAGGGCCUGGAGAGUCAUCAAACAUGGAGCGCUGUUUUCCUUUCGUUUGGCAAAACGAAUAAAAGACGCCGGCAAAUUUGUCGGGA